rnacentral:rRNA from 1 species
UUUGACGUUAGCGACAGAAGAAGCACCGGCUAACUCCGUGCCAGCAGCCGCGGUAAUACGGAGGGUGCGAGCGUUAAUCGGAAUUACUGGGCGUAAAGCGCAUGCAGGUGGUUUGUUAAGUCAGAUGUGAAAGCCCGGGGCUCAACCUCGGAAUUGCAUUUGAAACUGGCAGACUAGAGUACUGUAGAGGGGGGUAGAAUUUCAGGUGUAGCGGUGAAAUGCGUAGAGAUCUGAAGGAAUACCGGUGGCGAAGGCGGCCCCCUGGACAGAUACUGACACUCAGAUGCGAAAGCGUGGGGAGCAAACAGGAUUAGAUACCCUGGUAGUCCACGCCGUAAACGAUGUCUACUUGGAGGUUGUGGCCUUGAGCCGUGGCUUUCGGAGCUAACGCGUUAAGUAGACCGCCUGGGGAGUACGGUCGCAAGAUUAAAACUCAAAUGAAUUGACGGGGGCCCGCACAAGCGGUGGAGCAUGUGGUUUAAUUCGAUGCAACGCGAAGAACCUUACCUACUCUUGACAUCCAGAGAACUUUCCAGAGAUGGAUUGGUGCCUUCGGGAACUCUGAGACAGGUGCUGCAUGGCUGUCGUCAGCUCGUGUUGUGAAAUGUUGGGUUAAGUCCCGCAACGAGCGCAACCCUUAUCCUUGUUUGCCAGCGAGUAAUGUCGGGAACUCCAGGGAGACUGCCGGUGAUAA